UACGGAGGAUCCGAGCGUUAUCCGGAUUUAUUGGGUUUAAAGGGUGCGCAGGCGGGAUGUUAAGUCGGCGGUGAAAUUUUGCAGCUCAACUGUAAAAGUGCCUUCGAUACUGGCUUUCUUGAGUGUGGAUGAAGUAGGCGGAAUUUGUGGUGUAGUGGUGAAAUGCUUAGAUAUCACGAGGAACUCCGAUUGCGCAGGCAGCUUACUAAACCACUACUGACGCUCAUGCACGAAGGCGUGGGGAUCAAACAGGAUUAGAUACCCCGGUA
rnacentral:rRNA from 1 species